rnacentral:rRNA from 1 species
CAGCAGCCGCGGGAAAACGUAGGGUGCAAGCGUUAAUCGGAAUUACUGGGCGUAAAGCGUGCGCAGGCGGUUUUGUAAGACAGAGGUGAAAUCCCCGGGCUCAACCUGGGAACUGCCUUUGUGACUGCAAGGCUAGAGUACGGCAGAGGGGGAUGGAAUUCCGCGUGUAGCAGUGAAAUGCGUAGAUAUGCGGAGGAACACCGAUGGCGAAGGCAAUCCCCUGGGCCUGUACUGACGCUCAUGCACGAAAGCGUGGGGAGCAAACAGGAUUAGAUACCCGCGUAGUCCCUGUCUCUUAUAC